rnacentral:rRNA from 1 species
CAAGGAUUCCCCUAGUAACUGCGAGUGAAGCGGGAAAAGCUCAAAUUUAAAAUCUGGCAGUCUUUGAUUGUCCGAGUUGUAAUCUAGAGAAGUGUUAUCCGCGCUGGACCGUGUAAAAGUCUCCUGGAAUGGAGCAUCAUAGAGGGUGAGAAUCCCGUCUUUGACAUGGACUACCAGUGCUUUGUGAUGCGCUCUCAAAGAGUCGAGUUGUUUGGGAAUGCAGCUCAAAAUGGGUGGUAAAUUCCAUCUAAAGCUAAAUAUUGGCGAGAGACCGAUAGCGAACAAGUACCGUGAGGGAAAGAUGAAAAGAACUUUGGAAAGAGAGUUAAACAGUACGUGAAAUUGCUGAAAGGGAAACGCUUGAAGUCAGUCGCGUUGGCCAGGAAUCAACCUUGCUUUUGCUGGGCGUACUUUCUGGUUGACGGGUCAGCAUCAAUUUUGACUGCUGGAGAAAGUUCAAGGGAAUGUGGCAUCUUCGGGUGUGUUAUAGCCCUUGUUCGCAUACAGCAGUUGGGAUUGAGGAACUCAGCACGCCGCAAGGCCGGGUUUCGACCACGUUCGUGCUUAGGAUGCUGGCAUAAUGGCUUUAAUCGACCCGUCUUGAAACACGGACCAAGGAGUCUAACAUGCCUGCGAGUGUUUGGGUGGAAAACCCAAGCGCGCAAUGAAAGUAAAAGUUGAGAUCCCUGUCGUGGGGAGCAUCGACGCCCGGACCAGACCUUUUGUGACGGAUCUGCGGUAGAGCAUGUAUGUUGGGACCCGAAAGAUGGUGAACUAUGCCUGAAUAGGGUGAAGCCAGAGGAAACUCUGGUGGAGGCUCGUAGCGAUUCUGACGUGCAAAUCGAUCGUCAAAUUUGGGUAUAGGGGCGAAAGACUAAUCGAACCAUC